rnacentral:lncRNA from 1 species
CCGGUGCUGUCGGAGCAGCAGCUGGUGGACUGCGACACGCUCGACAAGGGCUGCGGCGGCGGAUGGAUGGACACGGCCUUCAAGUGGGUGAUCCAGAACGGCGGCAUCACGUCGGCGGCGGCGUACCCCUACACGGACAGGAACGGCACCUGCCAGGAGGGGAAGCCGGCGGAGGUGACGCUAAGCGGCUACAAGCGGCUGCCGCGCGGUGACGAGGCGGCGAUCAUGGAGGCGGUGGCGCGGCAGCCCGUGGCCGUGGCCUUCGACCACAACGACCCCUGCUUCCAGCACUACAUCGACGGCGUGUACGACGGCAAGUGCUUCGCGUCCGGCGUCUAUGUUGGCGGGGCAUGCGGGACGAACCAGACGCAUGGGCUCGCCCUCGUCGGGUACGGCACCAUGCCUGGCGGGACCAAGUACUGGAUCGGCAAGAACUCGUGGAGCGCCAGGUGGGGCGACAACGGCUUUGUCUACGUGCUCAGGGACUCGCCGCCCUUGGGCUUGUGCGGCCUCGCGGUGCGCCCCAGCUUCCCUAUCAUCUGAUCGAUCACCGGCCGGACCCCCGGCCGGUCGAUCGCCAUGCACCUCCGAGCCAUGCAUGAUCUGUGUGCCUCUCGAUCCAGAAUAAUGGUGUGU